UUUUGUUCUAGUAAAUCUUUAUAUCUUUCCCAUACUUUUAAAAGUGAUCUCCUAAUUAUGUGGUUAUAGAAUCUUUUGCGUACUUUCCCUUUAUCAUACCACAAGUACGCAUGCCAUCCAAAUCUGUUGUCAUGUCCUUCAAGAUCUAACAUAUCCAUAUUUUCUAAUUUAAUCCAAUCCCAGAUCCAAGUAACACAAGCAGCCUCAUAGGAUAAUUUAAAGUCUGGAAGGGAAAAUCCUCCUCUAUCUUUAAUGUCAACUCCCAUGACUAGUGCAUAGCUUAUCAUGUCAACAAGCACUUGGUACAAUUCUGACAGGAACGUGAGGCAGAGAUGUCAGGCUCUCAGCAUCAGCAAGGUUGUCCACAGCAAUGGCCAAAAAGACAUUCAGCAAGAUGUCUGUUUGCAUGUUUUAUUAAAGAAAACAUGGUUAGAUGCAGCCACAACUACAGAGGUUGGAAACCAGAUCUGACCAGUGGGAAUGAUGCUUAGCUCCACACAGACCAGCAUGCCAAGUUUGACAUGUACCAAAUAUCUCUUUGCUGUCCUCCCUAUUGUCUCUACUCACUCAUCCGUCUAUCCCUCCUGAAGAAGCAGGAGGCUUCACAGAGAUCCUGGUUGCACAGGGCAAGUUCACCCCACCCCCAGUCCCCUGAUUCAACUUAGGGUUCAUCUGAAGCUGCUGCAUAUCCCUAAAUCCUCCAUACCUUGGACUUCAGUGAGCCAUUCUGACUGGUUAUAAUGUUCAGAGGCAAUUGUGAGGGUGUUAAGAAACACAAGGAAGAUCACGAG